GCAUAUCAUAAGCGGAGGAAAAGAAACCAACAGGGAUUGCCUUAGUAACGGCGAGUGAAGCGGCAACAGCUCAAAUUUGAAAGCUGGCCCUUUUAGGGUCCGCGUUGUAAUUUGUAGAGGAUGAUUCGGCGAGGGCUCCUGCCUAAGUCCCCUGGAACGGGGCGUCAUAGAGGGUGAGAAUCCCGUAUGCGGUAGGUUGCCUUAGCCAUGUGAAUCUCCUUCGACGAGUCGAGUUGUUUGGGAAUGCAGCUCUAAAUGGGAGGUAAAUUUCUUCUAAAGCUAAAUACUGGCCAGAGACCGAUAGCGCACAAGUAGAGUGAUCGAAAGAUGAAAAGCACUUUGGAAAGAGAGUUAAAAAGUACGUGAAAUUGUUGAAAGGGAAGCGCUUGCAACCAGACUUGUCCGCAGUUGCUCAGCCGGUCUCCUGACCGGCGUACUCUUCUGCGGCCAGGCCAGCAUCAGUUCGGGCGGUCGGAUAAAGGCCUCGGGAAUGUAGCUCCUCUCGGGGAGUGUUAUAGCCCGGGGUGGAAUGCGACCAGCCUGGACUGAGGAUCUCGCUUCGGCAAGGAUGCUGGCGUAAUGGUUGUAAGCGGCCCGUCUUGAAACACGGACCAAGGAGUCUAACAUCUAUGCGAGUGUUCGGGUGUCAAACCCGUACGCGUAAUGAAAGUGAACGGAGGUGGGAACCCGCAAGGGUGCACCAUCGGCCGAUCCUGAUGUCUUCGGAUGGAUUUGAGCAAGAGCAUAGCUGUUGGGACCCGAAAGAUGGUGAACUAUGCCUGAAUAGGGUGAAGCCAGAGGAAAACUCUGGUGGAGGCUCGCAGCGGUUCUGACGUGCAAAUCGAUCGUCAAAUUUGGGUAUAGGGGCGAAAGACUAAUCGAACCAUCUAGUAGCUGGUUCCUGCCGAAG
rnacentral:rRNA from 1 species